UACGUAGGGGGCGAGCGUUGUCCGGAAUCAUUGGGCGUAAAGAGCGUGUAGGCGGUCCGGUCAGUCGGUUGCGAAAGUCAAAGGCUCAACCUUUGAAAGCCGGUGGAUACUGUGAGGCUAGAGUACGGAAGAGGCGAGUGGAAUUCCUGGUGUAGCGGUGGAAUGCGCAGAUAUCAGGAGGAACACCAAUAGCGAAGGCAGCUCGCUGGGACGUUACUGACACUGAGGCGCGAAAGCGUGGGGAGCGAACAGG
rnacentral:rRNA from 1 species